rnacentral:rRNA from 1 species
UACGGAGGGUGCAAGCGUUAAUCGGAAUUACUGGGCGUAAAGCGCGCGUAGGCGGUUAGAUAAGUCGGAUGUGAAAGCCCCGGGCUCAACCUGGGAACUGCAUUCGAUACUGUCUGACUAGAGUAUGAGAGAGGGAGGUAGAAUUCCACGUGUAGCGGUGAAAUGCGUAGAUAUGUGGAGGAAUACCAGUGGCGAAGGCGGCCUCCUGGCUUAAUACUGACGCUGAGGUGCGAAAGCGUGGGGAGCAAACAGG